UUGGAGGGCAAGUCUGGUGCCAGCAGCCGCGGUAAUUCCAGCUCCAAUAGCGUAUAUUAAAGUUGUUGCAGUUAAAAAGCUCGUAGUUGAAUUUCGGGAUUGACACAUCGGUCGUGCCUUAAGGGGUAUGAACUGGUGUAGUCAAUUUCUCACCUUCUGGAGAACCACGAUGCCCUUAAUUGGGUGUCGCGGGGAACCAGGACCUUUACUUUGAAAAAAUUAGAGUGUUUAAAGCAGGCAUUUUGCUUGAAUACAUUAGCAUGGAAUAAUAAAAUAGGACGGCAUGAUUCUAUUUUGUUGGUUUCUAGGAUCACCGUAAUGAUUAAUAGGGAUAGUAGGGGGCAUUAGUAUUCAAUUGUCAGAGGUGAAAUUCUUGGAUUUAUUGAAGACUAACUACUGCGAAAGCAUUUGCCAAGGAUGUUUUCAUUAAUCAAGAACGAAAGUUAGGGGAUCGAAGACGAUCAGAUACCGUCGUAGUCUUAACCAUAAACUAUGCCGACUAGGAAUAAGACGAUGUUAAUUUUUUAAUGACUCGUUUGGCACCUUACGGGAAACAAAGUGUNUGGGU
rnacentral:rRNA from 1 species